CCUACGGGUGGCAGCAGUGAGGAAUAUUGGUCAAUGGGCGAGAGCCUGAACCAGCCAAGUCGCGUGAAGGAUGACGGCCCUACGGGUUGUAAACUUCUUUUGUCAGGGAGCAAUUGGGUCCACGCGUGGGCUUAGCGAGAGUACCUGAAGAAAAAGCAUCGGCUAACUCCGUGCCAGCAGCCGCGGUAAUACGGAGGAUGCGAGCGUUAUCCGGAUUUAUUGGGUUUAAAGGGUGCGUAGGCGGAAUAUCAAGUCAGCGGUAAAAAUUCGGGGCUCAACCCCGUCGUGCCGUUGAAACUGAUGUUCUUGAGUGGGCGAGAAGUAUGCGGAAUGCGUGGUGUAGCGGUGAAAUGCAUAGAUAUCACGCAGAACCCCGAUUGCGAAGGCAGCAUGCCGGCUUCCGACUGACGCUGAAGCACGAAAGCGUGGGGAUCGAACAGGAUUAGAUACCCGUGUAGUC
rnacentral:rRNA from 1 species